ensembl:lncRNA
GUUGUUGGUGUGGUUGUGACAAGGCUUGUUGUUGGUGUGGUUGUGGCAGGGCGUGUUGUCUGUGUGGUUGUGGCAAGGCUUGUUGUCUGUGUGGUUGUGGCAGGGCUUGUUGUUGGUGUGGUUGUGGCAGGGCUUGUUGUCUGUGUGGUUGUGGCAGGGCUUGUUGUUGGUGUGGUUGUGGCAGGGCUUGUUGUUGGUGUGGUUGUGGCAGGGCUUGUUGUUGGUGUGGUUGUGGCAGGGCGUGUUGUCUGUGUGGUUGUGGCAAGGCUUGUUGUCUAUGUGGUUGUGGCAGGGCUUGUUGUUGGUGUGGUUGUGGCAAGGCUUGUUGUUAGUGUGGUUGUGGCAGGGCUUGUUGUCUGUGUGGUUGUGGCAGGGCUUGUUGUCUGUGGGGUUGUGGCAAGGCUUGUUGUUGGUGUGGUUGUGGCAGGGCUUGUUGUUGGCUUGCUUGUGGCAGGGCUUGUUGGUGUGGUUGUGGCAGGGCUUGUUGUCUGUGUGGGGGUGACAAGGCUUGUUGUUGGUGUGGUUGUGGCAGGGCUUGUUGUUGGUGUGGUUGUGGCAGGGCUUGUUGUUGGUGUGGUUGUGGCAGGGCUUGUUGUUGGUGUGGUUGUGGCAGGGCUUGUUGUUGGUGUGGUUGUGGCAGGGCUUGUUGUUGGUGUGGUUGUGGCAGGGCGUGUUGUCUGUGUGGUUGUGGCAGGGCGUGUUGUCUGUGUGGUUGUGGCAGGGCUUGUUGUUUGUGUGGUUGUGGCAGGGCUUGUUGUUUGUGUGGUUGUGGCAGGGCUUGUUGUUGGUGUGGUUGUGGCAGGGAUUGUUGUUGGUGUGGUUGUGGCAGGGCUUGUUGUUGGUGUGGUUGUGGCAGGGCUUGUUGUUGGUGUGGUUGUGGCAGGGCUUGUUGUUUGUGUGGUUGUGGCAGGGCUUGUUGUUUGUGUGGUUGUGGCAGGGCUUGUUGUUGGUGUGGUUGUGGCAGGGCUUGUUGUUGGUGUGGUUGUGGCAGGGCGUGUUGUCUGUGUGGUUGUGGCAGGGCGUGUUGUCUGUGUGGUUGUGGCAGGGCUUGUUGUUUGUGUGGUUGUGGCAGGGCUUGUUGUUGGUGUGGUUGUGGCAGGGCUUGUUGUUGGUGUGGUUGUGGCAGGGCUUGUUGUUGGUGUGGUUGUGGCAGGGCUUGUUGUUUGUGUGGUUGUGGCAGGGCGUGUUGUCUGUGUGGUUGUGGCAGGGCUUGUUGUUUGUGUGGUUGUGGCAGGGCUUGUUGUUGUGUGGUUGUGGCAGGGCUUGUUGUUGGUGUGGUUGUGGCAGGGCUUGUUGUUGGUGUGGUUGUGGCAGGGCUUGUUGUUGGUGUGGUUGUGGCAGGGCUUGUUGUUGGUGUGGUUGUGGCAGGGCUUGUUGUUUGUGUGGUUGUGGCAGGGCUUGUUGUUGGUGUGGUUGUGGCAGGGCUUGUUGUCUGUGUGGUUGUGGCAGGGCGUGUUGUCUGUGUGGUUGUGGCAGGGCUUGUUGUCGGUGUGGUUGUGGCAGGGCUUGUUGUUGGUGUGGUUGUGGCAGGGCUUGUUGUUGGUGUGGUUGUGGCAGGGCUUGUUGUUGGUGUGGUUGUGGCAGGGCUUGUUGUUGGUGUGGUUGUGGCAGGGCUUGUUGUUGGUGUGGUUGUGGCAGGGCUUGUUGUUGGUGUGGUUGUGGCAGGGCUUGUUGUUGGUGUGGUUGUGGCAGGGCUUGCCUCAUCACUACUGCAGAAAUAUUUCUCAGCCCUUCCUGCAUGUAAUCCGUGUGGAAUGA